GUAGGGUKCGAGCGUUAAUCGGAAUUACUGGGCGUAAAUGGGUGCGCAGGCGGUGUKKCAAGACAGGCGUGAAAUCCCCNNNCUUAACCUGGGAAUGCGCUUUGUGACUGCACGGCUAGAGUGUGUCAGAGGGGGGUAGAAUUCCACGUGUAGCAGUGAAAUGCGUAGAUAUGUGGAGGAAUACCGAUGGCGAAGGCAGCCCCCUGGGAUAACACUGACGCUCAUGCACGAAAGCGUGGGGAGCAAACAGGAUUAGAUACCCUGGUAGUCCACGCCCUAAACGAUGUCAACUAGUUGUCGGGUCUUAAUUGACUUGGUAACGCACKAACGCGUGAAGUUGACC
rnacentral:rRNA from 1 species